CCUACGGGAGGCAGCAGUGGGGAAUAUUGCACAAUGGGGGAAACCCUGAUGCAGCGACGCCGCGUGAGUGAAGAAGUAAUUCGUUAUGUAAAGCUCUAUCAGCAGGGAAGAAAAUGACGGUACCUGAGUAAGAAGCCCCGGCUAACUACGUGCCAGCAGCCGCGGUACUACGUAGGGGGCAAGCUUUAUCCGGAUUUACUGGGUGUAAAGGGAGCGUAGACGGCAGUGCAGGUCUGGAGUGAAAGGCGGGGGCUAAACCCCCGGACUGCUCUGGAAACUGUACGGCUGGAGUGCAGGUGAGGUAAGUGGAAUGCGUAGUGUAGCGGUGAAAUGCGUAGAUAUUAGGCGGAACACCAGUUGCGAAGGCGGCUUACUGGACUGUAACUGACGUUGAGGCUCGAAAGCGUGGGGAGCAAACAGGAUUAGAUACCCCUGUAGUC
rnacentral:rRNA from 1 species